CCACGAUGCUCCCAAACUCGAGCACGAUGGUGAUACGGGUUUUCGAAACUGGUAUCGGAAUCGUGACAUUCCACAUCAUGAUUACCGAACUCCUGUUCCGCCAAACGUUGGGUUAACUCCGCAACUUGUCUCUGCAAAUCUUCAAUCGUCACAUCCUGAAUAUUACAAUCACGGUGCGGGACUUCCUCAAUCGGAACCUGUCCUCGACGACCACGACCACGUCCACCAACCAUUAUAACUGAUGGAAUUUAUCUCCCAAGAAGAUGCUGACGCUCUGAUACCAACUGACGCCGGGUAGGAUAGUGAUUAUCCUAUUGGCUGGUUGUAGCAGAUGAUUCGCAAGAAAAGAACGAUAGAAAAAGCCCAAAAAAAACAGAGAAAAUACUCUGAAUUCAACUCAAUAUUAUUAAUAAUGCAGAAUGCUGAAAACUAACCCACAGGCCGGGUUAAAUAGCUGCGAAAUACGAAAUUAUUGGAAAAUUACCAAAAAUGGCAAAAUCCCGAAAUUAUACCCAAAUAAAAUAUUAAGUAAAAGAAGUAAGUUGCCAAAAAUUUGGCUUAAUUCGAGUUCUCUAACAUAUAAAAAAAAGGAAACUAAAUAUUACCAUAAAUAGUAAAAAUAACUUAAAAUUGAAUUUUGAAAAGGAAAACAGUGGAUUUUGGGCUUGAAAUUGACGUCCACGACGUGCGCACCGAAGAGAGCUUUCCGAAUUGGGGUCAUAAUAGCGAUUCCGAUAACCGUAGCCAAAGUUAUGGCCAAAUUACCAAAGACGCGUCAAAAUCUCCCAAUUAAGAAAAUAAUGGUGAUUUACUUUCCAUCUUUGCGCCGAUCCGCCAUCUCAUGGUAUCUCAGCGCCAUCAUCGUGCAAUCUGACAAAUCAGCAUCACUUAACUCGGAUCCUCCUG
rnacentral:lncRNA from 1 species